UAUGACCAUAUUACAUUGAAACACCAGUUUCCAUAUGAACACCAAAGUUAAGCAACACUGAGCCUGGUCAGUAUCAAGAUGGGUGACCACUUGGGAAUACCAUGAACUGUA